CUGUUACGUGAUCUCGUCUGAAACAAAAACCUGGGAUGAAGCCCAGCAAUACUGUCAGGCGAAAAGAGCUCACCUGGUGGUCAUUAAUGAUGCAGAGGAACAGAAAAUAGUCACGAAUUUGGGUAACGCUCUGGACACCGUGUGGAUCGGCUUAAGCGGUAUGUCACAGAUAUUCAGGCCAAUCAACUGGACAUGGGUGAACGGAGACUUGCUGACAUUCAAGCACUGGGACGGUAAGCAGACAACGAAAGGGGAGAUCGGCAGAAUCUGCGUCCUCUCGGACCGAGGGCUGGCGGGGAUGUGGCGUGGCGCCGCCUGUCAGGCAUCGCACCGCUUUUUAUGUG